CCUACGGGUGGCAGCAGUGAGGAAUAUUGGUCAAUGGGCGCGAGCCUGAACCAGCCAAGUCGCGUGAGGGAGGACGGCCCUACGGGUUGUAAACCUCUUUUGCCGCGGAGCAACGGGCGCCACGUGUGGCGUCACUGAGAGUACCCGGAGAAAAAGCCUCGGCUAACUCCGUGCCAGCAGCCGCGGUAAUACGGAGGAUGCGAGCGUUAGCCGGAUUUAUUGGGUUUAAAGGGUGCGUAGGCGGAUCGUUAAGUCCGUGGUAAAAGUGAGGGGCUCACCCCCUUCCCGGCAUUGAAACUGGCGUUAUUGAGUGGAAGAGAAGUAUGCGGAAUGCGUGGGGUAGCGGUGAAAUGCAUAGAUCUCACGCAGAACCCCGAUUGCGAAGGCAGCAUGCCGGCUUCCGACUGACGCUGAAGCACGAAAGCGUGGGGAUCGAACAGGAUUAGAUACCCGGGUAGUC
rnacentral:rRNA from 1 species